rnacentral:rRNA from 1 species
UACGGAGGGGGCUAGCGUUGUUCGGAAUUACUGGGCGUAAAGCGCACGUAGGCGGCUUUGCAAGUCAGAGGUGAAAGCCCGGGGCUCAACCCCGGAAUUGCCUUUGAGACUGCAUCGCUAGAAUUGUGGAGAGGUAAGUGGAAUUCCGAGUGUAGAGGUGAAAUUCGUAGAUAUUCGGAAGAACACCAGUGGCGAAGGCGACUUACUGGACACAUAUUGACGCUGAGGUGCGAAAGCGUGGGGAGCGAACCGG